CCAUGCAUGUGUAAGCGAAGCAUUUUUGUGGAGCGGCAUAAGGCUCAGUAACGGGCGUCUAUUUGAUCUCCUGAUGUGGACAACCUCUGUAACCGGAGGCCAAUACACAUGAGGCACUGUUUCCGUUUGGUAGGGUGUCAAUAGCUAUAUGAAAUUUAUAGCGCGGGAGAGUAAGGAGCCAUCCCAUCAGUUAGUAAGUAGGGUAAGGGCCUACUUAGACGAAGACGGGUACGGGGAAUUAGGGUUCUAUUCCGGAGAGGGAGCCUGAGAGAUGGCUACCAGGUCCAAGGACAGCAGCAGGCGCGAAAAUUACCGAAGCCUCCGGUGAGGGCGGUAGUAAGGAGACGUGAAUACGAUGUGCAGGUAAAUAAUGCACUAGUAACAGGAGGUCAAGACUGGUGCCAGCAUCCGCGGUAAUACCAGCUCCUGGAGUGUCUAUGAUGAUUGCUGCAGUUAAAGUGUUCGUAGUCGGGCUGCAUGACUGGCGUGAAAGACCUUCUUUCAAGGGGGGUACAGCGCGGGGAAAGCAGAGAAUAAGGAGCGUUUUGGGGUCAGGUUAUUAAGCGACGAGAGGUGAAAUUUGAUGACUCGCUUAGGAGCAACAGAGGCGAAAGCGCUGACCAGGGGCGAAUCCGAUGAUAAAGGACGUAGGCUAGAGGAUCGAAGACGAUUAGAGACCGUUGUAGUUCUAGCAGUAAACGAUGCCGAUGCCGUGGAGCGAGAUUUAUUCGCUUCGCGGAAGAGAAAUUUAGUAGGGCCCUGGGGAGAGUACACGCGCAAGCGAGAAAUUUAAAGGAAAUUGACGGAAGAACACCACAAGGAGUGGAGUGUGCGGCUUAAUUCAACUCAACGUGGGACAGCUUACCAGGCCCGACGACCGCACGAGUGUAGUACACGAUAGGUUGAAGAGUGGUGCAUGGCCGUUAACGACAAGUGGGGUGACCUUUGGGUUAAGUCCGGGAAGUAGUGAGACCCCUGCUGUUACUAUAUGUUGUGACAGGACAGGUGCUUAAAGCACAGGAAGGAAGGGUCAAGAACAGGUCAGUGAUGCCCUUAGAUGGUCUGGGCUGCACGCGCACUACAGUGGUCACAGAAAGGAGUUAUUGAGAGAUAAUGGUGAUCGAGAGGGAAUGAGCUUUGUAAGAGGCUCAGGAACGAGGAAUUGCUAGUAAUCGCGGGCUCAUUAAGACGCGAUGAAUACGUCCCUGUUCUUUGUACACACCGCCCGUCGUUAUCGAAGAUGGAGUCAGGCGCGAACAAGCGAGAGCGAGUGAGUGCAGGAUUCUAGAUGUGAUACAAGUCGUAACAAGGUAGCUGUAGGAGAACCUGUAGCUGGAUCAGAACGAUGUUUAUUUAUUUGUUUUUAGGUUUUUUUUUAUAUUAUGCCCUGCGCAAGGGAUCUUUUGGCUCGUUGUGCGAUGAAGGGCGCAGCGGAAGGCGAAAUGUGCAGGAGCGGCAGCAGUGAUUGCACGUGCCCGAAGCAGCAUUAUUGCAGGAAAACCCCUUUGAAUUAAGCAUAUGAGUAGAGGGAGGAAAAGAAACUAACAAGGAUUCCCAUAGUAGCGGCGAGCGAAGAGGGAAGAGCCCGGAGUGUAAUCGUUACUCAUUGAGUGACGAGAUGUCAUAGAGCGUUUAACAACAACAACCGAUCUGGAAAGACGGGCCACAGAGGGUGAUAGCCCCGUUGUUAGCUCAUCGAGUAGGAGUAGCGGUGUUUGGUAUUGCACCGUGAAUUGGGUGGCAGCGUGCAUCCAAGGCUAAAUAUUGCAACGAGACCGAUAGUGGAUAAGUAGAGUGAUCGAAAAAGGAAUAGACUGAAAAAGUGAAAUGCG
rnacentral:rRNA from 1 species